UUACCGUAGGUGAACCUGCGGUAGGAUCAUUACUGAGUGAGGGCUUCGGUCCGACCUCCAACCCUUUGUGAACCAAACUUGUUGCUUCGGGGGCGACCCUGCCGCUUCGGCGGUGCGGCGCCCCCGGAGGCCAUUAAACACUGCAUCAUUGCGUCGGAGUUAAAGUAAAUUAAACAAAACUUUCAACAACGGAUCUCUUGGUUCCAGCAUCGAUGAAGAACGCAGC
rnacentral:misc_RNA from 1 species